UCCGGUUGAUCCUGCCAGAGGUUACUGCUAUCGAGGUUCGACUAAGCCAUGCGAGUCGAAUGUAGCAGUACAUGGCGAACUGCUCAGUAACACGUGGACAACCUGCCCUUAGGUUGGGUAUAAACCCGGGAAACUGGGUAUAAUACCCGAUAGGUCUCGAUUGCUGGAAUGCAUCGAGAUUUAAAGCUCCGGCGCCUAAGGAUGGGUCUGCGGCCUAUCAGGUAGUAGUGGGUGUAGCGUACCUACUAGCCUACGACGGGUACGGGUUGUGAGAGCAAGAGCCCGGAGAUGGAUUCUGAGACACGAAUCCAGGCCCUACGGGGUGCAGCAGGCGCGAAAACUUUACAAUGCUGGCAACAGCGAUAAGGGAACCUCGAGUGCCAGGUUACAAAUCUGGCUGUCGAGAUGCCUAAAAAGCAUUUCAUAGCAAGGGCCGGGCAAGACCGGUGCCAGCCGCCGCGGUAACACCGGCGGCUCGAGUGGUAACCGUUAUUAUUGGGUCUAAAGGGUCUGUAGCCGGCCGGAUAAGUCUCUUGAGAAAUCUGGCAGCUUAACUGUCAGGCUUUCAGGAGAUACUGUCUGGCUCGAGGCCGGGGAGAGGUGAGAGGUACUUCAGGGGUAGGGGUGAAAUCUUGUAAUCCUUGAAGGACCACCAGUGGCGAAGGCGUCUCACCAGAACGGACCUGACGGCAAGGGACGAAGCUAGGGGCACG
rnacentral:rRNA from 1 species